GUGAAUCAUCGAAUCUUUGAACGCACAUUGCACUCUCUGGUAUUCCGGAGAGUAUGCUUGUUUGAGUAUCUGUAAACAUCUCAACCCUCAAGGCGCUUGCGUCGGGAGGAUUGGACUUGAGCGAUCCCGACUCUUUCUCACGAAAGAGGAGGGUCGCUUGAAAUGCAGGUGCAGCAGGACAUUCUUCUGAGCUAAAAGCAUAUCUAUUUAGUCCCGUCAAACGGAUUAUUACUUUUGCUUCAGCUAACAUAAAGGUCGAAUGCGCCACAAUCGCUGAUUGCAGGAAAACUCGUUCGCAAG
rnacentral:misc_RNA from 1 species